UACGUAGGGUGCAAGCGUUAAUCGGAAUUACUGGGCGUAAAGCGUGCGCAGGCGGUUCGGAAAGAAAGAUGUGAAAUCCCAGGGCUUAACCUUGGAACUGCAUUUUUAACUGCCGGGCUAGAGUAUGUCAGAGGGGGGUAGAAUUCCACGUGUAGCAGUGAAAUGCGUAGAGAUGUGGAGGAAUACCGAUGGCGAAGGCAGCCCCCUGGGAUAAUACUGUCGCUCAUGCACGAAAGCGUGGGGAGCAAACAGG
rnacentral:rRNA from 1 species